rnacentral:misc_RNA from 1 species
UCUUGGGAUGCCAAUUGAAGAUGUAGCGGCAGUUCGGAUUCAGACAGCAUACCGAGCAUAUCGUGCCAGGAAAAAUUUACGUCGCUUGAAAGGGGCCUUCAGACUGCAGAAUCUGACUCAAGGCAAUUCCGUUAGAAAGCAUGCUACAUCUACAUUAGGCUAUCUUCAUUCAUGGAGCAAUAUACAGGCUCAAAUUAGGGCUCGUCGACUUUGUAUGGUGACAGAAGG